UGGGGAAUUUUGGACAAUGGGCGAAAGCCUGAUCCAGCAAUGCCGCGUGUGUGAAGAAGGCCUUCGGGUUGUAAAGCACUUUUGUCCGGAAAGAAAUCCUUGGCUCUAAUACAGUCGGGGGAUGACGGUACCGGAAGAAUAAGCACCGGCUAACUACGUGCCAGCAGCCGCGGUAAUACGUAGGGUGCAAGCGUUAAUCGGAAUUACUGGGCGUAAAGCGUGCGCAGGCGGUUUGCUAAGACCGAUGUGAAAUCCCCGGGCUCAACCUGGGAGCUGCAUUGGUGACUGGCAGGCUAGAGUAUGGCAGAGGGGGGUAGAAUUCCACGUGUAGCAGUGAAAUGCGUAGAGAUGUGGAGGAAUACCGAUGGCGAAGGCAGCCCCCUGGGCCAAUACUGACGCUCAUGCACGAAAGCGUGGGGAGCAAACAGGAUUAGAUACCCUGGGUAGUCCACGCCCUAAACGAUGUCAACUAGUUGUUGGGGAUUCAUUUCCUUAGUAACGUAGCUAACGCGUGAAGUUGACCGCCUGGGGAGUACGGUCGCAAGAUUAAAACUUAAAUGAAUUGACGGGGU
rnacentral:rRNA from 1 species